CAUCUCCUGCAUCCGGUUCUUCCUUCUUCAUCGAUUGAUCUUCGAAAAACAUAGAUUUCUUCAUCUUCAAUCGCGAGUGGAAGCAACCAGUCCUUAUUAUGCGGCGUAUAAGGUUUUCCGAUUAAAUUCACGUAUUGAAGUAGAUUUUGAGCAAUUGUCAGAGGUGACGUUGUUUGCUAACAUUAUUACAGUUCA